GGGAACAUGGUGAGACCAGUGACUUCCAAGGGCCUGUGCCCAUUGCUGCACUUUUUUUGCUGUGAAGUGAGUGCCUUGAUCAGAACAGUGAAACGGCCUUUUGAAGACUCAGAUACAGUGACAGGUGGAGAGGGAAGGAACUGGGAGCACACAGCAAGAAAGUGGCUGUUCACAAGCUAGGACCUGAC